rfam:Cyanothece sp. ATCC 51142 circular chromosome, complete sequence.
ACACCGGCUGAGUGUUUUAUCGUUGUGGCUCAUUGUCGGAUAUCGAAGAAGAGCGACGUCAGAUAUCCGAACGGUGU